GAUGAACGCUGGCGGCGUGCUUAACACAUGCAAGUCGAGCGAGAAGUUUUGAAGAGAUUCUUCGGAUGAAAUUUAAAAUGGAAAGCGGCGGACGGGUGAGUAACGCGUAGGCAACCUGCCCCAUACAAAGGGAUAGCAUUUGGAAACGAAUAUUAAUACCUUAUGAAACUUAACUAGUGCAUGCUAGGUAGGUCAAAGAUUUAUCGGUAUGGGAUGGGCCUGCGUCUGAUUAGCUAGUUGGUGAGGUAACGGCUCACCAAGGCGACGAUCAGUAGCCGACCUGAGAGGGUGAACUGCCACAUUGGAACUGAGACACGGUCCAAACUCCUACGGGAAGCAGCAGUGGGGAAUAUUGCACAAUGCGGGAAACCGUGAUGCAGCAACGCCGCGUGAACGAUGAAGGCCUUUGGGUCGUAAAGUUCUGUUCUAGGUGAUGAAAACUGACAGUAACCAAGGAGAAAGCCCCGGCUAACUCCGUG
rnacentral:rRNA from 1 species